AUCCGACUGACGGGUCCCAAAUAGGACAAAACAUGCGUUAUGGAU
rnacentral:hammerhead_ribozyme from 1 species